UACGUAGGCAGCGAGCGUUGUUCGGAGUUACUGGGCGUAAAGAGUGCGUAGGCGGUUUUCUAAGUUUGGUGUGAAAGCCCCCGGCUCAACUGGGGAGGGUCAUUCGAUACUGAUCGACUGGAAGGCAGGAGAGGGAAGCGGAAUUCCCGGUGUAGUGGUGAAAUGCGUAGAUAUCGGGAGGAACACCAGUGGCGAAGGCGGCUUCCUGGCCUGUUCUUGACGCUGAGGCGCGAAAGCUAGGGGAGCAAACGGG
rnacentral:rRNA from 1 species